GAUGAAGAACGUAGCGAAAUGCGAUAAGUAGUGUGAAUUGCAGAAUUCAGUGAAUCAUCGAAUCUUUGAACGCACAUUGCGCCCCUUGGUAUCCCGAGGCGCAUGCCUGUUCGAGCGUCAUUUCACCACUCAAGCCUGGCUUGGUGUUGGGCGACGUCCUCUUUGGGGACGCGCCUCGAAACGCUCGGCGGCGUGGCACCGGCUUUAAGCGUAGCAGAAUCUUUCGCUUUGGAAGUCGGGGCCCCGUCUGCCGGAAGACCUGCUCGCAAGGUUGACCUCGGAUCAGGCAGGGAUACCCGCUGAACUUAAGCAUAUCAAUAAGCGGAGGA
rnacentral:misc_RNA from 1 species